AGAGUUUGAUCCUGGCUCAGGACGAACGCUGGCGGCGUGCCUAACACAUGCAAGUCGAACGGGGAGUUACUUGUAACUCCUAGUGGCGAACGGGUGAGUAACGCGUAGACAACCUGCCUCUAAACUGGGGACAACACCGCGAAAGUGGUGCUAAUACCGAAUGUGGUAUCUUGAUCGCAUGAUUGAGAUAAGAAAGAUGGCCUCUUUACAAUGCUAUCGAUUAGAGAUGGGUCUGCGUCUGAUUAGCUAGUUGGUGAGGUAAUGGCUCACCAAGGCGACGAUCAGUAGCCGGUCUGAGAGGAUGAACGGCCACACUGGGACUGAGACACGGCCCAGACUCCUACGGGAGGCAGCAGUGGGGAAUCUUCCGCAAUGGACGAAAGUCUGACGGAGCAACGCCGCGUGAGUGAAGAAGGUUUUCGGACUGUAAAGCUCUGUCGUUUGGGACGAACGUGGGUAGGGUAAAUAAUCCUAUCUAAUGACGGUACCAAAGGAGGAAGCCACGGCUAACUACGUGCCAGCAGCCGCGGUAAUACGUAGGUGGCAAGCGUUGUCCGGAAUUAUUGGGCGUAAAGGGCGUGUAGGUGGAUCUUUAAGUCGUGUGUCUAAGUGCGGAGCUCAACUCCGUAUUGGCGCAGGAAACUGGGGAUCUUGAGUGCAGGAGAGGAAAGUGGAAUUCCCAGUGUAGCGGUGAAAUGCGUAGAUAUUGGGAGGAACACCAGUGGCGAAGGCGACUUUCUGGACUGUGUCUGACACUGAGGCGCGAAAGCUAGGGGAGCGAACGGGAUUAGAUACCCCGG
rnacentral:rRNA from 1 species